UGACCUCAAAUCAGGUAGGACUACCCGCUGAACUUAAGCAUAUCAAUAAGCGGAGGAAAAGAAACUAACAAGGAUUCCCCUAGUAACUGCGAGUGAAGCGGGAAAAGCUCAAAUUUAAAAUCUGUCAGUCUUCAUGAUUGUCCGAGUUGUAAUCUAGAGAAGUGUUAUCCGCGCUGGACCGUGUACAAGUCUCCUGGAAUGGAGCGUCAUAGAGGGUGAGAAUCCCGUCUUUGACACGGACUGCCAGGGGUUUGUGAUGCGCUCUCAAAGAGUCGAGUUGUUUGGGAAUGCAGCUCAAAAUGGGUGGUAAAUUCCAUCUAAAGCUAAAUAUUGGCGAGAGACCGAUAGCGAACAAGUACCGUGAGGGAAAGAUGAAAAGAACUUUGGAAAGAGAGUUAAACAGUACGUGAAAUUGCUGAAAGGGAAACGCUUGAAGUCAGUCGCGUUGUCCAGGGAUCAACCUUGCUUUUGCUUGGUGUACUUUCUGGUUGACGGGUCAGCAUCAAUUUUGACUGUUGGAAAAAGGUCAAGGGAAUGUGGCAUCUUCGGAUGUGUUAUAGCCCUUGGUUGUAUACAAUGGUUGGGAUUGAGGAACUCAGCACGCCGCAAGGCCGGGUAUUAACCACGUACGUGCUUAGGAUGC
rnacentral:rRNA from 2 species